ensembl:lncRNA
CAUAGGGAACAAGUGAGCAAGGUGGGCAGACGGCCCCCAGCCAGGCCCAGAACACCUCAGGCCUUCCUCUGUCAUGCAGGCCUCUGGGCCACGGAGACUGGGACCUACCGUGGACCCUCUACAACACGCAGGGCACGGAGCUUAAGAGCUUCCCAGCAAUCUCCCCAACACCUCCCGGUUGGGAGCCUCUCACAGAAGCACGAGGGUGGGGGGAGGGAGCUCAGAUAGCAGAAGGGGUGGACUAAGGUCCGUGGGAGGCCAGAGUAAGGUCCCAAGUGGGAGCCACCGAGCCCGGAGAACGUGAAAAGGGCCCCGAUGGUCCUCGCCUCCCUUCUGACCUGCCCAAGGAGGCUUCCCGGAGGAGGGAGCUCCCUCUUCCUGUCACCUGGAUCAGAGCUCAGCGGCCUCCCGGAAGCAGCGCUGUCUCCCUGCUCGGACCGUGCUACUGUAAGGCUUCUUUAUUUGAUCUACAGCCCGCUCCCCCGCGUCGGCUGUCGGGCGCGCAAGGGGUUGCGUGCGCCGCAACGGGUGUCUCCAAGGGGCGAGCACCCCGGGAACCCCACUUCUCGCGGUGGCCUCCAGCGGGAAGCAACGGUUUCCACAGUACCGGGGGACCGACCCUACCGUGGGACCGCCCUGGCAGGGGCGGGGGUCAGGCACCCCGGCGCCGCAGCUCCGGAACCCCAGGACCGACUCCAAGUUCAGUCUGCAAUCGCGAAGUGGGCGUGUGAGUUUCCUACGCCGUCUUCCGGGGAGACGCGCGGCGCAGACGCAGACAGACUUCGCCCCUCAAGCGCAGAGGUGGGGGUGCGCACGCACAGCGGCGGGCGGGGUGUCAUCCCGGCGCCGCGCUCCCAACCCCUGCCGGGAAGCUGGUCGUGCGCGCGCCGCGGCAGGGGAGUAGGCGGGGCUGCGGAUGGCCCUCCCCAUUCCCCAGCGUUCCCCGCGGCAGCAGGCACUGACGUGGCCGCCGUCAGAGCCGCCAUCUUGUGGGAGCAAAACCAACGCCUGGCUCGGAGCAGCAGCUGUGCCUCGGCCGCUGAGGGUGUGACCAGAGGUUGGAAGAGGCCUGUUGCGAAGUUGCUGUGGCCUCCCGGGCAAGACCAGCUUCUUGAAGGGUGAAGUGGAGGGCGUCCUGAACCCCUGCACCUCUUGAGUGUUGUGAGCUGGCUGCCUCCCUGACAAGGGUCACAGGAGGAGGGGCAGGUGGGGGGGCUUUCCUCAAAGGUGGGGGGAUCCAGUGGAGGUUUUCACCCCAUGCUGCCACUGUCCUCUUCUGUGUCUUCCAGGAGCCAUCUCUCCGAAAAAGGUGGGGCUGCAAGUUUUAAAAUUUUGUUCUUAAAAUGAAAGAUCUCUGAAAGCAAAAAUCAAAUUGGAGAUUGGUUUAAUCCCUCACCAAAGCCCCUGUUGAGAAAGCCUCUGGGGGCCACCUGCUACUCUUGAGUGCUUGAAGGGGCUCUGAGGGCUUGUGCUUACAGUUUCCGUUCUCUUCGAGGGUGUGGAGAGGGGUCUCAGAGGCCCAUCCUAGUGCUGGGAGAGGGCCUGUGUCUGCACAGUGCGUGUGGGCGGCUGCUUUGAGAAGGCACCAGAACAGAGACUGCAGAGGCUUCAGCACGUUUGCAGUGACCACAUGAUUAACGAAGUGGAGUGACGAAAACAAAUGAAUGGGAUUUACUUCACAACAGAAAUCAGAAUCCUGAAGCGUUUUCUUUUUGUGUUCUCACUACUAGAACUGAAACCCAAGACUGUUGUGACUGGUGUGCCCGCCCUUUCUCUGUCAGGGCUGUGGGGGGUUGGCAUCUGAUUGUGUGCAUAUCUGCAUUGAGAGGGCCGCAGUGUCACUGAGGAGCAGCAGCCUUUGACAUUGCUUGACCCAGAGGCCUCUAAGCCAGGGGUGUCCAAACUUUUUUCAACGUUUUUCACCAAGGGCCAUAUGUGGUAAAAUACACAAAGAGCCGGGCCACUCACUCGAGGUGAAGUACGUAUUGCCUCACCUGGUUUAUUUAAGUAAACGAAACAUAUUUUUGGAGUUUGCUGCGGGCCAAUUAACAAUGGAUCGUGGGCUGCAGUUUGGACACCCCUGCUCUAAGCUCUAGUUUAUUGAUACGGUGAGGUGGAAGGCAGACACCAGCAUUCUCCAUUUUCUCCAUCUGUUAGUUGGAGUCACUGAGUAUUGCUAGCCUCUAUGUGCCCAGUGCUGUUCUCCUGGCACAGCUCCUCCUUUUCUGAGUGGUGACUGUUGGCCCUGUGGUGUGUCAAGUGUGCGCUGAGAAUAGAGAGGAAAGGACCACUUCCUGUGGAAGGUGGUGGCUGGCAUCUAAGCUUGGCUGCAGAGGUUGAGGGAAGGGCCGAGUGGACACAGCUUGAAGAAUCAAAGGUGUGGCGAAGGCGCUGGGGUCAGACAUGCCCAAGCUCCUUGCUGAGUGAGGCCUCUAAACCAAUCCCAAACUGCUGGUCCUCUGGUUCCCAGCAGAGGGAUGGGAUUGAAAGACUGGGUGGGAUUGAAAGACAAUUUUAAUUGACUUCCAAAGGACCACUAAUAAUCUGCACUAUUAGUGAGGGGUUGGUGGUAGGUGGUAGGACACUUUUCAGGGUGUCUGGGUGGUUUAGAGUUGCCUGUGGUUUCUCAAGUCCCGCUUUGCAUUUUAGUCAUGAAUUUAGUUUUCUCCAUUUUAAGUUCGUUGCACAUUUUAUGUUGUGGAUUGACACAAAAUAGUAUUUUUCAUCUUUAUUUUUUUCCAGUAACAAGUCCCUCAGACAAUUGUGCUUCGGGUCAGACAGAAGGUAUCU